UUUUUCACCUCCUCUUCCUUUUGCCAUUAACUUCCUUUGUGGCCUCAGCAAAAAACCUCCCUGUUGGUCUCCUUCCUGAAACCCAAAGACGGAAGGUCAGAGAUCCUCGGAGGUUCUCAUCUGAACAAUUGCACCAGCUGGGUAGAGUCCGAGGGGAAUCGCCUGCAGAAUCGCCUUCCUCAAAGCCAGCCUGAACACCCUCUGCUGUUAUGGCCUGAGGAGCAGGGCAAUUCCCAGUCUGAUCGGGAGUCCUGACGUAUCCUGCACUUUGGGGUGUUCCUGCUCCAAAGGAGGAAACACAAUGUUCUCCCCACCUUGCCUCCCUGCACUGAAGCCCUUCAAGCAAAGCAUCUCUGAGGCAAAAGAGGGGCAGGCCAGAGCAACAUGUGUUCCUGACCCAUAUCUUUUUCUUUUAGUAUUAUCUGAUCAGCCCUGGAGCUAAUAAAUAAGUAUAUCCAGCAGCCUACAGCAAUAACAGACUGGCUGAGUUACAGGGAAUGGUAUUCUGUGAGCUGAGGAGUCAACAAAGGCAGAAAAAAAA